rnacentral:rRNA from 1 species
AACCUGGUUGAUCCUGCCAGUAGUCAUAUGCUUGUCUCAAAGAUUAAGCCAUGCAUGUCUAAGUAUAAAUAGUAUACAGUGAAACUGCGAAUGGCUCAUUAAAACAGUUAUAGUUUAUUUGAUAAUUGAAAAUUACAUGGAUACCCGUGGUAAUUCUAGAGCUAAUACAUGCUGUCAAGCCCGACUUUAUGGAAGGGUUGUAUUUAUUAGACUUAAGCCAAUAUUCCUUCUGGUCUAUUGUGGUGAUUCAUAAUAACUGAUCGAAUCUCAUUCUAUGAGAUAAAUCAUUCAAGUUUCUGCCCUAUCAGCUUUCGAUGGUAGUGUAUUGGACUACCAUGGCAGUAACGGGUAACGAAGAAUUAGGGUUCGAUUUCGGAGAGGGAGCCUGAGAAACAGCUACCAGAUCUAAGGAAUGCAGCAGGCGCGUAAAUUACCCAAUCCUGACCCAGGGAGGUAGUGACAAGAAAUAGCAAACUGGGGAUUUCACAAUCUUACAGUAUUGCAAUGAGGAAAAUUUAAAAAACUUAGCGAGGAACAAGUGGAGGACAAGUCUGGUGCCAGCACCCGCGGUAAUUCCAGCUCCACAAGUGUAUAUUAAAGUUGUUGCAGUUAAAAAGCUCGUAGUUGAAUUUCUGCUUGAGGAUAGUUUUGGCAUAUGUCAGACUAUUUUUAAGCAUCCGCUUGCAAGCCCUUGAUGGUAUUUAUUUAUCACUAGGAGGAGCAAGCUUUUUACUUUGAAAAAAUUAGAGUGUUUAAGGCAGGCAAUUGCUUGUAUAUAUUAGCAUGGAAUAAUAGAAUAGGACACUUUUCCAUUUCGUUGGUUAUUGGAAUCGUGUAAUGAUUAAUAGGGACAGUUGUGGGCAUUUGUAUUUAAUUGUCAGAGGUGAAAUUCUUGGAUUUAUUAAAGACAAACUAAUGCGAAAGCAUUUGUCAAGGAUGUUUUCAUUAAUCAAGAACGAAAGUUAGGGGAUCAAAGACGAUCAGAUACCGUCCUAGUCUUAACUAUAAACUAUUCCGACUCAAUGUUUGACUGGCCUUUUUAACCAGUUGAGCGUUGUAUGAGAAAUCAAAGUCUUUAGGUUCUGGGGGGAGUAUGGUUGCAAAGCUGAAACUUAAAGGAAUUGACGGAAGAGCACAACCAGGAGUGGAUUCUGCGGCUUAAUUUGACUCAACACGGGGAAACUUACCAGGUUAAAACAAUAGUGGGAUUGACAGUUUGAGAGCGCUUUCUUGAUUGGUUGGGUGGUGGUGCAUGGCCGUUCUUAGUUGGUGGAGUGAUUUGUCUGCUUAAUCGCGUUAACGAACGAGACCUUAACCUGCUUACUAGACUGUCGAUGUAUAAUCGUCAGCUCUUCUUAGAGGGACUUUGGUUGUUUUAACUCCAAGGAAGUUUGAGGCAAUAACAGGUCUGUGAUGCCCUUAGAUAUCCUGGGCCGCACGCGUCAUACAAUGACCAGUUCAGAAAGCUUCAUCCUGACCUGAUAAGGGAUGGGUAAUCUUGACAGUACUGGUCGUGUUAGGGAUAGAUCUUUGCAAUUAUAGAUCUUGAACGAGGAAUUCCUAGUAAGUGCAGUUCAUCAGGCUGUACUGAUUAUGUCCCUGCUCUUUGUACACACCGCCCGUCGCUUCUACUGAGUGAGUGGUCAGGUGAGAUACUUGAACUUGGCUGGAUUUAUCCAGUUAGGGAAGAUUAUCAAACCUAUCCACUUCGAAGAAGAAGAAGUCGUAACAAGGUUUCCGUAGGUGAACCUGCAGAAGGAUCA